rnacentral:tmRNA from 1 species
AUCCGGCGGUGCAGGUAAAUCGGAAAUAGGACUCCGGCCGUCUCGCGAAGAGUCCGAAAUUUUAGAGAAUAAGGCUGCGGUUGGUCGCUUUUUGCCUGCCGCAGCACGAAAACCAAGUAAAAGCUAAGCAUGUAGAAAGCACAUUAGUUCCACGUUUGGACGAGGGUUCGAAUCCCUCCAACUCCACCC